rnacentral:rRNA from 1 species
GGUGAAAAGCACCCCGGAAGGGGAGUGAAAUAGAACCUGAAACCGUGUGCUUACAAGUAGUCAGAGCCCGUUAAUGGGUGAUGGCGUGCCUUUUGUAGAAUGAACCGGCGAGUUACGAUUUGAUGCAAGGUUAAGCAGUAAAUGUGGAGCCGUAGCGAAAGCGAGUCUGAAUAGGGCGUUUAGUAUUUGGUCGUAGACCCGAAACCAGGUGAUCUACCCUUGGUCAGGUUGAAGUUCAGGUAACACUGAAUGGAGGACCGAACCGACUUACGUUGAAAAGUGAGCGGAUGAACUGAGGGUAGCGGAGAAAUUCCAAUCGAACCUGGAGAUAGCUGGUUCUCUCCGAAAUAGCUUUAGGGCUAGCCUCAAGUGAUGAUUAUUGGAGGUAGAGCACUGUUUGGACGAGGGGCCCCUCUCGGGUUACCGAAUUCAGACAAACUCCGAAUGCCAAUUAAUUUAACUUGGGAGUCAGAACAUGGGUGAUAAGGUCCGUGUUCGAAAGGGAAACAGCCCAGACCACCAGCUAAGGUCCCAAAAUAUAUGUUAAGUGGAAAAGGAUGUGGCGUUGCCCAGACAACUAGGAUGUUGGCUUAGAAGCAGCCAUCAUUUAAAGAGUGCGUAAUAGCUCACUAGUCGAGUGACACUGCGCCGAAAAUGUACCGGGGCUAAACAUAUUACCGAAGCUGUGGAUUGUCCUUUGGACAAUGGUAGGAGAGCGUUCUAAGGGCGUUGAAGCAUGAUGGUAAGGACAUGUGGAGCGCUUAGAAGUGAGAAUGCCGGUGUGAGUAGCGAAAGACGGGUGAGAAUCCCGUCCACCGAUUGACUAAGGUUUCCAGAGGAAGGCUCGUCCGCUCUGGGUUAGUCGGGUCCUAAGCUGAGGCCGACAGGCGUAGGCGAUGGAUAACAGGUUGAUAUUCCUGUACCACCUAUAAUCGUUUUAAUCGAU